UAAAAGGCAAGGAAGAGGAGCAGUAAUCACGAACGGACGCUUCAGAGAGCCGGCGGUAGGUGCAAGCCGGUGCGCACGCGUGACGAAUCUCGCCUUGGAGCCGCAUGAUUAUGCCGUUUCGCCCGCGUUAAGGGUACAGAGUGAGCGAGGACGAAGAACGUCCGCGCUAACUAGGGUGGUACCACGGGAAUAACAACCUCUCGUCCCUAGC
rnacentral:ncRNA from 1 species